rnacentral:tRNA from 1 species
GACCGGGUCGUCGCGGGCUCCGCGGGCGAGGAGGACCUGCUGGUCCUGUCCGACGCCCAGACCUCCGGCGGGCUGCUGUUCGGCGCCGCCCCCGGCCGC